rnacentral:rRNA from 1 species
UACGUAGGGUGCGAGCGUUUAAUCGGAAUUACUGGGCGUAAAGCGUGCGCAGGCGGUUCGUUGUGUCGGCGGUGAAAGCCCCGGGCUCAACCUGGGAAUGGCCGUUGAAACUGGCGAACUGGAGUGUGGCAGAGGGGGUGGAAUUCCGCGUGUAGCAGUGAAAUGCGUAGAGAUGCGGAGGAACACCGAUGGCGAAGGCAGCCCCCUGGGCUGACACUGACGCUCAGGCACGAAAGCGUGGGGAGCAAACAGG